AAAUUGAAGAGUUUGAUCAUGGCUCAGAUUGAACGCUGGCGGCAGGCCUAACACAUGCAAGUCGAACGGUAACAGGAAACAGCUUGCUGUUUCGCUGACGAGUGGCGGACGGGUGAGUAAUGUCUGGGAAACUGCCUGAUGGAGGGGGAUAACUACUGGAAACGGUAGCUAAUACCGCAUAACGUCGCAAGACCAAAGAGGGGGACCUUCGGGCCUCUUGCCAUCGGAUGUGCCCAGAUGGGAUUAGCUAGUAGGUGGGGUAACGGCUCACCUAGGCGACGAUCCCUAGCUGGUCUGAGAGGAUGACCAGCCACACUGGAACUGAGACACGGUCCAGACUCCUACGGGAGGCAGCAGUGGGGAAUAUUGCACAAUGGGCGCAAGCCUGAUGCAGCCAUGCCGCGUGUAUGAAGAAGGCCUUCGGGUUGUAAAGUACUUUCAGCGGGGAGGAAGGGAGUAAAGUUAAUACCUUUGCUCAUUGACGUUACCCGCAGAAGAAGCACCGGCUAACUCCGUGCCAGCAGCCGCGGUAAUACGGAGGGUGCAAGCGUUAAUCGGAAUUACUGGGCGUAAAGCGCACGCAGGCGGUUUGUUAAGUCAGAUGUGAAAUCCCCGGGCUCAACCUGGGAACUGCAUCUGAUACUGGCAAGCUUGAGUCUCGUAGAGGGGGGUAGAAUUCCAGGUGUAGCGGUGAAAUGCGUAGAGAUCUGGAGGAAUACCGGUGGCGAAGGCGGCCCCCUGGACGAAGACUGACGCUCAGGUGCGAAAGCGUGGGGAGCAAACAGGAUUAGAUACCCUGGUAGUCCACGCCGUAAACGAUGUCGACUUGGAGGUUGUGCCCUUGAGGCGUGGCUUCCGGAGCUAACGCGUUAAGUCGACCGCCUGGGGAGUACGGCCGCAAGGUUAAAACUCAAAUGAAUUGACGGGGGCCCGCACAAGCGGUGGAGCAUGUGGUUUAAUUCGAUGCAACGCGAAGAACCUUACCUGGUCUUGACAUCCACAGAACCUUGUAGAGAUACGAGGGUGCCUUCGGGAACUGUGAGACAGGUGCUGCAUGGCUGUCGUCAGCUCGUGUUGUGAAAUGUUGGGUUAAGUCCCGCAACGAGCGCAACCCUUAUCCUUUGUUGCCAGCGGUCCGGCCGGGAACUCAAAGGAGACUGCCAGUGAUAAACUGGAGGAAGGUGGGGAUGACGUCAAGUCAUCAUGGCCCUUACGACCAGGGCUACACACGUGCUACAAUGGCGCAUACAAAGAGAAGCGACCUCGCGAGAGCAAGCGGACCUCAUAAAGUGCGUCGUAGUCCGGAUUGGAGUCUGCAACUCGACUCCAUGAAGUCGGAAUCGCUAGUAAUCGUGGAUCAGAAUGCCACGGUGAAUACGUUCCCGGGCCUUGUACACACCGCCCGUCACACCAUGGGAGUGGGUUGCAAAAGAAGUAGGUAGCUUAACCUUCGGGAGGGCGCUUACCACUUUGUGAUUCAUGACUGGGGUGAAGUCGUAACAAGGUAACCGUAGGGGAACCUGCGGUUGGAUCACCUCCUUACCUUAAAGAA
rnacentral:rRNA from 1 species